AUCAGACAGUACAAUCAGUAUCUGCCAUAUGGCUGGUCUCUGUAGACGCCCUUUGCUGUCCUCGCUGAAGGUGCCUUGUGUCUUGAGUUAGUCCAGUCCUCUUGCCCUAAAAUCAGUAAGACGAAUCACAAUUAGAUCACUGCCAUGGAUCCCGCUGGCUUCAUUUUUCAGAAUCUAACUUAACCCUUGAACCAACGGUAGCUGUCAUAUUGAAGACAUAUAUCCCUGAUGCACUAGGAAAAAACCAACGGUAUUUACUUAAAAAAAAAAAAAAAAAAUCACAGACACAACGGAAAAUGGUUGUCCCCUUAACAAAACCUAACAGCAUGGGAAGAAAAAUGAGUUUUGUGUCUUCAAUGGCAACCGACUUCGCAAGAACUUGCCUUUGGGCCACUCAUUUAACCAAAGCUCAGAAGCUCAAACAGCAAAGGGAACUAACUGCCUUUUGCUAAACGUCAAGAUACUUCUGAAUGGGAAAGAGAAUGGGAAGAGGAUCACUUACAUUUCUUUCUUUCUUUCUUUUUAAUGUUUAUUUUUGAGACUGAGAGGCAGAGUGCGAGCGGGGGAGGGGCAGAGAGAGAGGGAGACACAGAACCCGAAGCGGGCUCCGGGGGCUCCGAGCCGUCAGCACAGGGCCCGACGCGGGGCUCCGACCCACGAACCGUGAGAUCGUGACCUGAGCCGAGUCGGAUGCUCAACGUACCGAGCCACCCAGGGGCCCCCACUCAGAUUUCUUUUGACAGCAAAAACAUAGAAAACGCAGCUAAAAAUGUGUGCGGGCAAAAGGAGACAAACACAAAGGGCAACGCGGGGAUGGGGAGGGAGAGAGAAUGGCCGACACCAUGUCUCCCGGGCCCUUCCACGGAGAGUUCAGUGAAGGACAGCUGUGUUGGGUGGAAUGCGAACGCCCCGACAAUUCUUCCUGGAUACGAAAUACACCUAGUGACGGAAUGUUCGUUGUCAGGCAUCAUACCAGUACCUCCAUCCCAGACACGGGUCUGGAGUAACAAGAGGCAUCCGUGAUCUAGACCUCCUGAAACUAAACACCUGUUCAACCCCAGCACUGUCACCCAGUCGUCACAAGUCUCUGCCAGCAAAUGGUUAACGUCUCUGCGGCAACGUACAGCAAGUGAAAAGCCACGUGUCCACUGAGACCAAUUUAAAAAGGCUGUGAAGGGAAAACACUUAAAAUGACCUCUUCUUUUGAUACAAACAUGCAAUCAACGUCACUCCCUCAAGCUAACUUGCAUCAAUUUAAGCGGACCGCAUCCAGCAAACCAAGGUAUUUCUCUUAAGUGUUUGUUACAAAUAACAACAACAACAAAAAAAAUCCAAGGUGAGGUCAUCACAGCUUGGGGGCAGGUGAUCUAACAAAACGCACUUCAAAAGGAACACCGGAAAAUGGUUUUUCAGUUAUGUUCAGAGAAAUGUCAGAACAUCCAUUAACCAGAAUCCUGAUUCACUUGCGCUGGGUACCAGGCAUUUUAUCAGAGCUUUGCAACUGAUUGAAGCUUCCUGUUCUCUGAUCUCUUUGCCCUCCGGCAAAGGAGCUUCUUACUAUCAUUAUGUUGCUGCCGCCAAUUCUUUUAAUUAAACCUGUCCUCCUCCUGCACACUGAGACUUCGGACGCGGAUACUCCUGCAUCUCUACCAGCUCCCACUGAACUCAGACGGGUUUAGCUGUCUCCCCGCAAGCUGGAGAGAGGGCCUGACGUCCUGUCCCUGGCUCAGUGCUGUGGUAACCUUUAUGGAAGGACUCCCACAGUGAUGUUUUCGGAGCAUUUGCGAUCGGAGAGGAAUUAAAAUAUGAAGAUGGGGGUGGGAGAAUCGUUUUAGAGCUGCAGACUCAAUGACUUCAUUUUCCUUUACUGUCAAGAAGCGAAGACACUGCAAAAAGCGCCACGCUUUCAAGUGUCUGCAGUUUGGCAAACGAUUCCAUAAUUGAGAAAAUCAGCACGUGGCAAUCAACCCAAACAGAAAAUCUAAGUUGAGGAUGUGAAUCGAUGCAAUUUUCUAUGAGUAUUUGGUCCUCUUUAAAUAUUAAAUUUAAAUCUUAAAGGAGCUUCUGAAAAUAGCUAGAUAUGUACGGACGAACGGAGAGGAAGCUGCUGUUUCGGUCAAAACGUCUUUAUGAGGUACGUUCUCCUCCGUUAAGAUCUUGAAGGUGUUUCUGGGACCAUCCCCCCGCUCUGCUUCCGGUUCACUCUGGCCAGGUACUCACCGUAGGAAUCGUACGUCUCUUCACUGAGUCCAUGUCCGUAAUCAUAGUAAUCAGCACCACUGCAAUGAACAAAACACGCAAGAAAUAAAAACGUAAAUAAAGACGAAAACGCAGGAGAAAAUGACUUGGCUGUGAGUCUGAAUCACAUUCAGCGAAGUAUUCUAAAACAGUUACCAAAGGGUUCCAACUUUAAUGCCUCAUAACUGUGUUUGACACUUGAGCCACAGCAAGUGGCCAGUGAGCACGGGGUGAGCGCCUCUUGCGCGUGACGGAUACCAAGACCGUCCUGGAGGAAGAGUCUGCAGAGACCGCGGGCGGGUCGCGGACAAGUGCAGCUGCCCCGUGCCAGGCGCCUCGCGGGUGCAGAGGGAGGAAAACCACGGGUUCUGUCCACCAGAAGGCAAGGACCUUCCUUCCUCUCUAGCUCCAACCUCCCAGAAAGCCCGAUGCUGUGUGACCUGUGGGCUCUACAGCAAGGCCUGAGACUCCGCGUUUCGUUUCCCCAGGACUAUGCCGUCACGGUCAGGAAGUGGCUACCGGUCAGGAGGCCGGCACGAUGACCGUGUCGUGACAGGAGAGCAGGAGGGUUCCCUGCCGUCCGGUGACGGCAGCCUCACCACGCGUGUGAGGAUGAGGCCGAGCAUCUUUUCAAAGCACAGGCGCAUCUGCGUUCUCACGUACAGUGUCCUUGAGAAAGCGGGGGGUCGGAGGGAGCCCGUCACCAGGGCCAUUCUGCUGCAGACGAUGCAAAGGAGGCUACACGUACACAACAUAUUUCAAUCAGGCGUAAUUUUUUAUAGGAAUAGACCUAUGGAAAAAUCUAGAUUACUAACCCACGGCAGAUAUAAGCAGUUUAUGACGCUAUUUUGAGGAUCCAAGGGGGAGCUCCCACUCACCCUCUCAGGCUGUCCGCUUUCCCACUCUACUUAAUUUUGUAGGGAAACAAUCGUCCUGAAUUUGUUAUCCUGGAUUGUCAUGGAAAUAAACAUUCUCAUUAUUCCAACCCCAUGCAAUCAAGUAAGAAGUUCUAAUCAAAAUGGAAAAUGAUCAGCUCAGCUGCUUAACACCUUAAGAAGUUGCAAGAUGAAUAAUAAACUCCACGCUGUGAGUGUUGCCGAAUGCCAGCUGCCGAGAUCCCGUGGAGUCCUCACGGCAGCCCCCGAGGUGAGUAGGAGUGUCAUGCCCAUUUUAUAGCUAAGGAUGCUGCAGAUCUGAAAGCCAGGGCGCCGGCCUCAAGUCUCACAGAGAACAGACAGGUGACACGCUCGUUGGUCAAACCCACACCUGGCUCUCCUCCCCACGCUUCACUGUCAGGUGAGCACUACCAGAGACUCAUCGGCUCCGACGGCCGCAGCACAGCACGGCGAUCCUAGGAGGAAGGGGUCUGAGAAGUUAACUCAACUAUCCAGGGAUGAACAAGAACAAGCGAGGACCAAAGCCCUAAGUCAGGUCUGUCUGAUGCCACAGCGGAUGUUUAUCCUACUCGAGCUGUUGCUCGGAGUGCGGAGGAGAUCCUUCCAACAGGAAAGUGGUGGCAGUCUCUUAAAUCAUGACUCUGCUUCUCUCCCUCAUCUCAUGUCACACUCACAUCUCUCCUGGCACCUAACAUGCCCUUCCACGUGAGAAAAAUGAGGUCAAAGGAUGGGAGCCACGCCUAACUCAACUGCUCCCGACAGUGCUGAUCCCUCCCAGAUCAGACAGGUAAGAGGAAGACUGAUAUGAACACGAGGGCUGAAGACCGUCCACGACUCACGCAAGAGUCUAUAAUACGGACGUUGUGUUGCAGCAGUUGUGGCAAUCUUCUGGGGUGGGAGGUGAAUGUGGAAUUCAUCCCAGAAUCAUCUUCAGUGAAUCUCUUCCAAAGUUUAAUUAGUAAGUUCUGUGUUGUUUGAAUUUAACAUGAAAGGGCUGAUGUUUUUCUGGAUUAUGUUGGCCUGUUCUUUUAAGAUAAAAUUUUAUCUAUAAUCCUUUUGACAAAAAUUAAAAUUCUAGCAAACGUUUACGAAAUGCUUACCAUCUGGCAGGAAGAACUACCGGACUGAGCACACGUGGUCCAGACAGUAGCUCCGGACCGGCUGGCCUGGGCUAGUGUUUUCGCUCUACUUGGGAGCUUGUAAUCCUUCCACAACCAUUAAGAAUUUUUACAGAUAAAGCAGACUUUCCACUUGAAAGAAUCAAGUGCAGACAGACUAUGGUUACUCCGACGCACGUAUGUGGCAGACACGUUCUCAGAGAUGAACGAAGUGAGCCUGUCUCUUCAGGAAAAAUUGACAGUAUUUGUUACCGAUGACUCAAUUCAAGCUUUCAGGUAUGCGCUGCAAUUUUGGAAAGUUAGUACUGACCACUGUAAACGGAUAAUAAGGCAGUACUUCUACAGACCUCUCUGUUGAGACCGGUGGUGGUGGCAACAAGAUACGGCUCUUCCAUACUGCCCAGGGAAAUGCGUCACAGGACCGUGAGAACACGCACGUCCCAGCGAACCAGUGUUUUUCGUAUGACCCAGGUCCGAUGUUUCCAAACCCACCAAAUGGAAGACGGACCAAGGCGUUUCAGUGAGACAGAGUAUGACAAGUUUACUGAUGUGGUUUCAGAAUCCACGCUGCAGCUAACCUUUCAGAAACUACCACUUGCCAAGUUUCGGUGGAGUCAUCAAAGAAUACCCACAGUUAGGUGCAAAGCUGUCAAAAUUCUUUUCUUCUCCAACUGCGUAUUUGUGGUUCCAACUACUUCAACCCAAACAACAUGUCCCAUCAGACUGAACACAGAGGCAGAGAGAAGAAUCUAGCUAGCUCCCAUGAAGCUGGACAUUAAAGAGAUUUGCAAAAAUAUAAAACAAUACUGUUUUUGUUUUGGAAAGUAGUGAUUUUCCAUAAAAACAGAUUUUUUUUUUUUUAUGUUAACAUGCAGUGAGUUGGCUACUGUCAUGUAUUUCAUGAUUAAUACCUAUUUUUAAAGUUUCUGUUUUUAAUUCCACAUGCGGUAAAUGUUGACAGAUACAAGCCACACACACCAGACGGCUUCGUGGCCCUUACAAUAAAGGACAGAGGAGUUCUGAGACCGAAGGCUUUAAGCCCGGGCACAGGUCACCUGCCUGCAGGAAGUGGGUGAGAGCACAGUGACUCCUACACACUGGCCUGAAGAAUGAUUCUUUGAUCUGGAACAAUGUCUCUCCGUCCACCAGGUGACGGGGGAGGAAGAAAGGCUCACUCACAGAACUAGCCUGCGGACAGAGCUCCGUGUCACAGCCGCCCGGCCCCAGGUCUCACACGUACCAGGAUCAAAAACCGCCGUUUCUGGCAAGAUCGGGAAAAGAGUCAGGGGAAACUUAAGCUUCGUGUAAGCAGGACAGAUGCGUAGACCUCCCCAGAUCCAUCAGGCACAGAUCUAACGUGGGGACAGUUUCAAUUUCCUCACGGUACAUGUCACUUUCUAGUGCCCAGAAUGCAAGAAAACAGAAGUAAAAAGGUUUGAAAUAAAGAGUUCUCUUUAGGAAUUAAAAACAUUAUAUCCAUUUGCCAAUAACUCGACUAUUUAAAUGCUCAGCUUAAAUGGCCAGAUAUAAUUUACGGUUUAACCAGGGAACCUAUUUCUCUGAGAGCAAGUUCUAGUAAUUCUUUUAGCACGAAAAUUUAAGGUCUGAUUUUUGGAAUUCCAGACCUUUCGGAGUUGAUAUUGUUAACCUGAUGUUAGACGUUCCAUCGCUCAGGAGAGGACCCAUCGCAAGGGUGAUAAGGGAGGGAAAACAAAGGCAGAUUUAAGAGGCGGU